GGGCUAGUCUUAUCGGCAAAAGCGUAAAGGGUGUGAUAGGCCGCUUUAUUUAAGAGAGUAAAUGGAAUUUUUCUGUAAUGGUGGUAUGUGUAAAUAGGAAAAAGAACUUUAGACGUGAAGACUAUUUACUUCUAAGAUUAUAAUGUGUUGGCUAAAACACGAGAGUAUGGGGAGCAAACAGGAUUAGGUACCCUGGUAGUCCAUACUGUAAAUAAUGAAAAAGAUGUGAAGCAAUUCUAAAAGGUAAGAACUUUUCCGCUUGAGUAGUACGAUCGCAAGAUUAAAAUUCAAAAAACUUGGCUGUUCACUGUUUUGAUUAGAGGAGCGUGUCGUUUAAUUCGAUAGUCCGCGAGAGACCUUACCCAAAUUUGAAUCCCUCAUUGACAGGUAUU
rnacentral:rRNA from 1 species